rnacentral:rRNA from 1 species
GAUGAACCCUGGCUGCGUGCCUAAUACAUGCAAGUCGAGCGAACAGACGAGGAGCUUGCUCCUCUGACGUUAGCGGCGGACGGGUGAGUAACACGUGGAUAACCUACCUAUAAGACUGGGAUAACUUCGGGAAACCGGAGCUAAUACCGGAUAAUAUAUUGAACCGUAUGGUUCAAUAGUGAAAGACGGUUUUGCUGUCACUUAUAGAUGGAUCCGCGCCGCAUUAGCUAGUUGGUAAGGUAACGGCUUACCAAGGCAACGAUGCGUAGCCGACCUGAGAGGGUGAUCGGCCACACUGGAACUGAGACACGGUCCAGACUCCUACGGGAGGCAGCAGUAGGGAAUCUUCCGCAAUGGGCGAAAGCCUGACGGAGCAACGCCGCGUGAGUGAUGAAGGUCUUCGGAUCGUAAAACUCUGUUAUUAGGGAAGAACAAAUGUGUAAGUAACUAUGCACGUCUUGACGGUACCUAAUCAGAAAGCCACGGCUAACUACGUG